UAGAGUUUGAUCNUNGCUCAGGACGAACGCUGGCGGCGUGCCUAAUACAUGCAAGUCGAACGCACGAAGUUGAAGAGCUUGCUCUUUAACCAAGUGAGUGGCGGACGGGUGAGUAACACGUGGGUAACCUGCCCAUUAGAGGGGGAUAACAUUCGGAAACGGAUGCUAAUACCGCAUAGUUUCAGGAAUCGCAUGAUUCUUGAAGGAAAGGUGGCUUCGGCUACCACUAAUGGAUGGACCCGCGGCGUAUUAGCUAGUUGGUGAGGUAAUGGCUCACCAAGGCAAUGAUANCGUAGCCGANCCUGAGAGGGUGAUCGGCCACCANCUGGA
rnacentral:rRNA from 1 species